rnacentral:rRNA from 1 species
CCUACGGGUGGCAGCAGUGAGGAAUAUUGGUCAAUGGGAGAGAUCCUGAACCAGCCAAGCCGCGUGAGGGAAGACGGCCCUAUGGGUUGUAAACCUCUUUUGUCGGAGAACAAAACCCGGGACGUGUCCCGGACUGCGUGUAUCCGAAGAAAAAGCAUCGGCUAACUCCGUGCCAGCAGCCGCGGUAAUACGGAGGAUGCGAGCGUUAUCCGGAUUUAUUGGGUUUAAGGGGGGCGUAGGCGGUCCGUUAAGUCAGCGGGAAAAUUGCGGGGCUCAACCCCGGCGAGCCGUUGAAACUGGCAGACUUGAGUUGGCGAGAAGUACGCGGAAUGCGCGGUGUAGCGGUGAAAUGCAUAGAUAUCGCGCAGAACUCCGAUUGCGAAGGCAGCGUACCGGCGCCAGACUGACGCUGAGGCACGAAAGCGUGGGGAUCGAACAGGAUUAGAUACCCCAGUAGUC